UAUUAUAAUAUAUGUAAAUUUGGUCUUAAAAAUUAAAAGUUAUGUUCUUUAAACUUAAAGAAUUUGACGGUAUUUUAGUCCUUUUAGAGGAAUCUGUUCUGUAAUUGAUAAUACACGAGUAAAUAUACUUAAUUUUGUUGAGUUUGUAUAUCAUUGUCGAAAAUUUAUCUUGGGAAAGUUUAUUUUUAAAUAAAAAGAUUAUUUUAAAUGUCAAAUCAUGAUGCAGCUAAUGGUUAAGAAGAAAUGGAUUACAAUUUAAAUGUAAACGGAUAAGUUAUUAAAAAAAAUUAUUGAAGGUGGAUUUAAAUGUAAAUUUAUUUUAUUGUUAAAUUGAUUGUGGCUCUAAAAUAUGUACAUAUCGCCCGUCGCUCUCGUUAAAAAAUGAG
rnacentral:rRNA from 1 species